AUUGAACGCUGGCGGCAGGCUUAACACAUGCAAGUCGAACGAUGACUCUCUAGCUUGCUAGAGAUGAUUAGUGGCGGACGGGUGAGUAACAUUUAGGAAUCUACCUAGUAGUGGGGGAUAGCUCGGGGAAACUCGAAUUAAUACCGCAUACGACCUACGGGUGAAAGGGGGCGCAAGCUCUUGCUAUUAGAUGAGCCUAAAUCAGAUUAGCUAGUUGGUGGGGUAAAGGCCCACCAAGGCGACGAUCUGUAACUGGUCUGAGAGGAUGAUCAGUCACACCGGAACUGAGACACGGUCCGGACUCCUACGGGAGGCAGCAGUGGGGAAUAUUGGACAAUGGGGGCAACCCUGAUCCAGCCAUGCCGCGUGUGUGAAGAAGGCCUUUUGGUUGUAAAGCACUUUAAGCAGGGAGGAGAGGCUAAUGGUUAAUACCCAGUAGAUUAGACGUUACCUGCAGAAUAAGCACCGGCUAACUCUGUG
rnacentral:rRNA from 1 species